UACGGAGGGAGCUAGCGUUGUUCGGAAUUACUGGGCGUAAAGCGCACGUAGGCGGCUUUGUAAGUUAGAGGUGAAAGCCCGGGGCUCAACCCCGGAAUUGCCUUUAAGACUGCAUCGCUUGAAUCCGGGAGAGGUGAGUGGAAUUCCGAGUGUAGAGGUGAAAUUCGUAGAUAUUCGGAAGAACACCAGUGGCGAAGGCGGCUCACUGGACCGGUAUUGACGCUAAGGCGCGAAAGCGUGGGGAGCAAACAGG
rnacentral:rRNA from 1 species